GAUGAACGCUGGCGGCGUGCCUAAUACAUGCAAGUCGAGCGAACGGACGAGAAGCUUGCUUCUCUGAUGUUAGCGGCUGACGGGUGAGUAACACGUGGAUAACCUACCUAUAAGACUGGGAUAACUUCGUGAAACCGGAGCUAAUACCGGAUAAUAUUUUGAACCGCAUGGUUCAAAAGUUAAAGACGGUCUUGCUGUCACUUAUAGAUGGAUCCGCGCUGCAUUAGCUAGUUGGUAAGGUAACGGCUUACCAAGGCAACGAUGCAUAGCCGACCUGAGAGGGUGAUCGGCCACACUGGAACUGAGACACGGUCCAGACUCCUACGGGAGGCAGCAGUAGGGAAUCUUCCGCAAUGGGCGAAAGCCUGACGGAGCAACGCCGCGUGAGUGAUGAAGGUCUUCGGAUCGUAAAACUCUGUUAUUAGGGAAGAACAUAUGUGUAAGUAACUGUGCACAUCUUGACGGUACCUAAUCAGAAAGCAACGGCUAACUACAUG
rnacentral:rRNA from 1 species